AUAAUAACAUUUAAAAAAAAAUGUGCUAUGAGGAUUUCAAGCCAUGAACUUAACAGUGCAGACAACAGGCAUCAAGCUUUAAAAUGGCUUACUGCAAUGGCAUUAUUCCUCAUUUUCAAAACAAGGGACAUCAAUGAUAUCAUAGUUCCAGGGAUGGAAAAGGAAGCAAGAUGAUUCAGAUAUAAUCCUUAGGAUUACCUUUGAAGAUAAAGCAAGUGGUAUUGUUUCCAAUUGAUAAAUAAUGAUGUGAUGAAUUGACCUGCUAUUCCACAACCAAGUUAUAGAGCUAGUACUUCACACUGUGUUCCUGGACUCUAAUACUCUUCCAUUAAAUGCUGGUUCCUAUAACUCUUUUUUCUGUGACUCUAUGAAAGAGAUUAAAUAAACAUUUUGACCAGUUUU